UACAUCAAGGAAACCAUGAUUGUGCUUGGGU
rnacentral:piRNA from 1 species